UACGUAGGUGGCAAGCGUUGUCCGGAAUUAUUGGGCGUAAAGCGCGCGCAGGCGGUCCUUUAAGUCUGAUGUGAAAGCCCACGGCUCAACCGUGGAGGGUCAUUGGAAACUGGGGGACUUGAGUGCAGAAGAGGAAAGCGGAAUUCCACGUGUAGCGGUGAAAUGCGUAGAGAUGUGGAGGAACACCAGUGGCGAAGGCGACUCUUUGGUCUGUAACUGACGCUGAGGCGCGAAAGCGUGGGGAGCAAACAGG
rnacentral:rRNA from 1 species